rnacentral:rRNA from 1 species
UUGGAGGGCAAGUCUGGUGCCAGCAGCCGCGGUAAUUCCAGCUCCAAUAGCGUAUAUUAAAGUUGUUGCAGUUAAAAAGCUCGUAGUUGAAUUUCGGGAUCAGCAGGUUGGUUGUGCCUCUGGUAUGCACUGGUUUCGCUGAUUCCUCCUUUCUGAAGAACUGUAAUGUCAUUAAUUUGGUGUUGCAGGGAAACAGGACUGUUACUUUGAAAAAAUUAGAGUGUUUAAAGCAGGCUAACGCUUGAAUACAUUAGCAUGGAAUAAUGAAAUAGGACGUUUGAUCCUAUUUUGUUGGUUUCUAGGAUUGACGUAAUGAUUAAUAGGGAUAGUUGGGGGCAUUAGUAUUCAAUUGUCAGAGGUGAAAUUCUUGGAUUUAUUGAAGACUAACUACUGCGAAAGCAUUUGCCAAGGAUGUUUUCAUUAAUCAAGAACGAAAGUUAGGGGAUCGAAGACGAUCAGAUACCGUCGUAGUCUUAACCAUAAACUAUGCCGACUAGGGAUCGGAUGAUGUUAAUUUUUUAAUGACUCAUUCGGCGCCUUACGGGAAAC